rnacentral:lncRNA from 1 species
GUUCGAUAUCAUAUACCAAAUAUCUAAGCGACAUAUUGCGAAACAAAUGUUUAUCGCAAGAACAAAAUUUGGCGGAAGAAAAAAAAAAAUAAUCAGAAGAAAAACAAUUGGUCUUUCCACAGAAAAGUGGAAAGACCUAAUAAUCAGAAGAAAAACAAUAGGUCUUUCCACAGAAAAGUGGAAAGACCUAAUAAAGUAACUAAACAAAAGA